CAACUGGAACAAGUUUAUUAACCUCUCUGAGCUUCAUGUCCUUUUUUACAAAGUAGGUACAAUUAGACUUGCCUUCAGAAGCGGUGAUGGGGAUUAUAUGAUGAUAAUCAUGACGAGUGUCAGAGUAGCAUUUUAAGAUGUAUUCCAUCCCCCCUUUACCUUUGGCCUCUUUUGCAACAUAUGUGACCCCAAGGAAAGCUUUUCUCAGCUGUGAAGGGCCUCAAAACUUGCCCCAGCUGGGUCGGGCAGAGAAAGAGAAAGACAAAGCCAGCAGCAACUGCUUCUUCUUAUGUGUAUCUCCAAAAGUUAUCUGCACUUCAUUAUCUGCGCUUACCAUGGGUCGCUCAACACUGUCUACCGGACGUAAGAGUAGUUUCUGCUCUUUCUCCUCAAGUUGCCCAUAGUAGAGAGGAAGCUGUUGACCAUGACCAUGUCUUAUAUUUGUGCAUUCCUGGUCCUAGAGGUUUCUGGCAUAUAAUGAAGACAAAUAAAUGAAAGAAAAUCUCAUCAGAGUGACAUCAAGAACCAUUUUUUUUAAUUGGCAAUCUGAUUCUAAAAACAUAUGAAAAUGCAAAGGACUUAGUAAAGCCAUAACAUCUUUGAAAAGAAAAACAAAGUGGGAAGACAAACACUACCUGGUUUCAAGAUGAAUUACAGAACUAUAAUCAUCAAGAGAAUGUGGUUCUGACAUCAAGACAGACAAAUACAAAAACAGAAGAAAAUAGAAAAUCCAGAAAUAAACCUACACAAAUACGCACAACUAAUUUUCAACAAAGAUGCAAAUGUAAUUCCAAGGAGAAAGGGCAGUCUUCUUAAUAAAU